rnacentral:rRNA from 1 species
GAUUGCAGGCUGCAACCCGCCUGCAUGAAGUCGGAAUUGCUAGUAAUCGCGGAUCAGCAUGCCGCGGUGAAUACGUUCCCGGGCCUUGUACACACCGCCCGUCACACCAUGGGAGCCGGUAAUACCCGAAGUCAGUAGUCUAACCGCAAGGAGGACGCUGCCGAAGGUAGGAUUGGCGACUGGGGUGAAGUCGUAACAAGGUACC